rnacentral:rRNA from 1 species
AUGGAGGGAAAACAACAAUGGGACAUGGUGGACCAUGGAUUCAAGCUUUGCGCUCCAGUUCUGAAGAGAGCAGCAGGUAGACCAAGGAAGAGUCGAAUCAGACCUCAGAGCGAAGGAGCUGGACUUGGAGCGAGGAAGCGUAAGUGCACAAGGUGUGGUGGGUCUGGUCAUUUCGGUAAGUAUUGUGAUAACACAGUAGAUCCAGCGUUCGGAGAGAGUUUCGAUGAAGGCUUCGAUGAAAAUGUUGGUCAGCAGCCGGUUGCCUCCACAGAUGAUGAAAAUAAUGGUCAACAACCGGUUGCAUCAGAUGAGGAUUUUGACGAGGUUCCAAAUGAUGAUGGUCAA